GCUCAAUGAUGAUAUAAAGGCUAAUGUGACUUGACCGGCUGGGUUGCGCCCUCAGCCCAUUCCAGUAAUACGGGUCUGUAAUCUUGGUGGACAACACUGAGCUGUGUGUGUUUGCUGUAAGGGCAGGCCGACAGAAAGUCCCCCUCCCUGCAUCCCUGGAAAAUAUAUCUCUGGGAUGCAUCAGCUCUGAGUGAGUGUUUCUGUGAGCUGAUGUGGGGCUGUGGGAAUAGGAUGGGAUAGCGUGUCCAAGGUUUGGAUUGCAGGGGGCAGCCCAUUUUACAGCCGGUGAGAUGUGAGCACACAUCUUUGGUAAUCUGAUGACU
rnacentral:snoRNA from 1 species